ACAUGCUUACAAAAUAGAGUUAAUGCACCGAAUCCCAUUAGAACUCUGCAGUUAAGCGCGCUUAGGAUAGAGUAGUACUGGAUGGGUGACCACCCGGGAAGUCCUAAUGUUUUACAUGCC
rnacentral:rRNA from 1 species